GCAAUGGCGGGCGCCCCUCCCCCAGCCUCGCUGCCGCCUUGCAGUUUGAUCUCAGACUGCUGUGCUAGCAAUCAGCGAGACUCCCUGGGGUAGGACCCUCCGAGCCAGGUGCGGGAGAUAGUCUCCUGGUGCGAGGAUUUUUAAGCCGGUCGGAAAAGCGCAGUAUUCGGGUGGGAGUGACCCGAUUUUCCAGGAGUGAGGCAAUGCCUCGCCCUGCUUCGGCUCGCGCACGGUGCGCGCACCCACUGGCCUGCGCCCACUGUCUGGCACUCCCUAGUGAGAUGAACCCGGUACCUCAGAUGGAAAUGCAGAAAUCACCCGUCUUCUGCGUCGCUCACGCUGGGAGCUGUAGAGCGGAGCUGUUCCUAUUCGGCCAUCUUGGCUCCUCCGGCUUACAUUCUUGUAUGGGACUACAGGCGCCCGCCAUCACGCCCGGCUGCUUUUUUUGUUUUAGUAGAGAGGAGGUUUCACCGUGUUAGCCAGGAUGGUCUCAAUCUCCUGACCUCGUGAUCCGCCCGCCUCGGCCUCUCAAAGUGCUGGGAUUACACGCGUGAGCCACCGCGCCUGGCCUGAAGAAAGGGGAUUACUUUCCUCACUUUGUUAUAUAUCCUGGAAGCUAUGAACAAUGAUGCUUCUUCAUACUCUUCAACCUCAUCAUGAUACCUUGCACGAAGCAGGAGCUCAACUAAUUUGGGUUGAGGCCAGAAUGCCAAUAGUGAGCAAAAAAGGAUGAUAUUUGACACUUGGCAUUGAAUAUCUGAAUCAUGAUGUCCACAUAACUACAGCUAUGCACCACAUAAUGAUGUUUUACUCAACAACAGACCACAUAUACAAUGGUGGUUUCAUAAGGCUAUAAAGGAGCUGAAAAUUUCUUACCACCUCAUGUCCUCAUGUCAUAGUGCAACAUAUUGCUCUUGUGUUUGCAGUGAUGCUGGCAUAAACAAACCCACUGCUUUCAGACUUGAACUGAAUUAUACCACCAACUUUCCUGAUUUCCCAGUUUGCCAACAGCACAUCACAGGACUUCUCAGCCUCCACAACAUUGAAAUUAACUGUUCACUAAGAAGCAGAAUGAUCUUCACUGGAACAACGAAACAACGGAUGAUCUGCCUUUAAUAGGAUAAAAGCCAGUAUUUGCAAAUAUAAAAUACUAUUUUGAGAUCCUUGUGGAGUUCAUUUUUGUGUAUGGUCAGAGGUUAUUGUCAGUGUUCAUUUUUUGCCAUAUAGAUACCUGGUUGUUCUACCAUUUGAUGAAAGGUAUUAUCAUGUCCCCAUUGAAUUACCAUGACACUUUGUCAAAUAUCACUUGACCCUAUGUAUGAAGGUAUAUUUCUGGCCUCUGUUUUGUUCCAUUGAUCUUAUGUGUAUCACUGUGCCAAUAUAACCCUACCUUGAUUACUGAAUCUUUACAGUAUAUCUUGAUAUCGUCUAGGGUAAGUGAUCUAAAUGUAUACUUUUGUUUCUAAGUAUUUUUGACUUUGGUUCUUUGAGUUCUCCAUAUACAGGAAGUCAUUAAAGAAGCAACCCAUGGCAAAACUAGUUAUUUUCUUAAAACAGUAGGAAGAAGAAAAGCUUUUUGAAUGAAUCACUUCUCAUCUUCUCCGAAGUUGGAAGCAUCAAGAAUCUAAAUAAGCAUUUAUGAUGGCUGGCAUGAAUAUGUCUCUCCUUCAUCGUGCCUAUUUUAUGAACUUGAACAAGGAAGUUGCCACAACAUCUGUGGGCCAGAGAACUAUGCCAGAAUGUUAUUUCCAGAUUGCUUCCUGUAUUUACAAAGGUAUAAAUCUUUGAUUUCUAUAUAUUCUUCUCACACCCUUCUCUGCGAACACACCUAUCUUCCCCAUUUUUUAACUGGCUAAGUUCUAUCUGCCUAUCAUGAAAAGCAAAGCCACCUAUAACAAAUUCCUUAGAUUUAAGUAACUCUUUUUUAAAUUCCGGUGUAUUUUUUGUGCCUUCUAUUGGUUAGAUUUUGUUAAAAUAAUGCUGCAUAACAAACCUUUCCAAUAAUAAUUUGAUACAAUAAUUUAUUACUGUUUAUGUACCUCCAGGUUGCCAGGGCGUCCACUGGUCUAAAUAGCACUCAUCUUCCUACUGCAGGUCUAUAGGUCCACUGAUACGGCUUUGCUACUCUACCCCGCAGGUGAAGACAGAACAAGAAAACAAACCAAGAAUUUCCCCUCACCAGCCACCAGCUCUGCCAGCAACUUGAUCUUAGACUUCCCAGCCUCCGUAACGGAAGAGGAACUUAAGGAAACAUAAUAAUUAAAGGCUCUGCUUAUAAUCUGUCAUGGAUUGGAAAACUAGAAAAAACAGUUUACAGAGUAUAACAAACUUUGGAGGAGUUAAUCGACUCUAAGUAAAAGAGGAUCUAGCACGGCUGUGGAACAAAGGAGAGACUCACAAACUGUUGAAAGAAUAAAUGAAUGAAUGAAUUCUGUUCAUGAGCUUUAAUAAAACAGCUCUGAGUAGUAACAGUGGAUCAAAUUUAGGCUUCUUGAUGCAGGCAUGGUGUAGAUUACUACUUCUGUAUUGUCCCAGGAGCUCAGCACAUUCCUGCAGAGAUGAUAGGAGCUCAUCUGAUACUUGUCAGGUUUGAAUAAACUCCAGUCCCCAAGAGAGAGAAUGAGAAUCACCGGAAUACGAAACUUCCCUGUUGGACUUCCCAACAUUCUUGAAUGCACCAAGAUAGCCUCUUGCUGUGAGAUUAAUAAAUGAAUAAAUGCCUCCAUAUUUUUCAAAUCUGUGAAGUUAACAACAUGUAGAUUUUUUUGCAUAUUUAAAAACUGCAACUAAAUCUUAAUGCCUCUGAAGCAGAUGGAAGAAAAUAAUAGGCUUCCAUUAACUGUGUCAAAUUGUAUAGGUCUUGGCCAUCACUGGUCCUGUUGUGAUGAAGGUUUUUUGCCCUUGGAUAUAAUUUAAUUUUCAAUUCUUCUAAUUAUGGUACUUCAGAACAUCAAUAUUUGAGAUGAACUUCUCUAGUGUCAAGGACUGAUUUGAGUUGUGUAAACCCUGAAUAUCUGAGACAGGUCUCGAUUAUUUUAGAAAGUUUAUUUUGCCAA
rnacentral:lncRNA from 1 species